GCUUCUCUUCGUCUGUCUCGAAAGCUGCGGGACGCACUCCUUGUUACUCAUACAUGCAAAUAAGUGAACGUGCCUCUUACUGUUUCACUCUGUAUUUGGCAAAACGUGUAUUUUUAAACGUUAUUCCCCCUUUGUUCUGCAAAGGAGCUUGCCUACCUCACCACUAGUUAUUUGCCCCCCAGGCUUGCACAUUUACACGCUUCUGUACGCUUCUUGUGCACGUGAACUCAGAAAUGCAGAUACAGAAGUGCUGUGGAAAGCAGGAGAGGAUGGUGCUGGUGGGUUUUCGUGGGGGAUUGGGACUGUCAGCUGGGGAAGGACAAUGAAAAGAGGCUUUUUUUAUGGAGUGGAUAGGCAAUAUUGAAGCCAAGAAAAGGAAGAAAUUAACAAAGCCAGCAGGUAAUUCCAGCCUGUUUGCACAACGGUGACAAAGCAAUGCCAUCAUUGUGGAGAAGGGCAGUUCCAAUGAAACCGCUGAUCGUGAGCACCGCAAAUGGCACCAAAUGCGUUUUGUGUGGAAGAAACGCAGAAGUAAAGGUGCAUAAAUGUCACAUUAGUAGAAAUUCUAAUUUCUUUUGUUGAAGUAAUUAAAUAAAGUCAUAGAACCAUAUAAUCACUGAGGUUUGAAAAGGCUUCCAGCUAGUUCUUUACCCUUAGCAAAGAGUGUACCUGUCCAAAUGAAUACAGGUUCUUCUAUAGAUAAGGUUGGAAACAGUGAACUGAUGUUACAGUUUCCUGCAUUAUCUGAAGCGCCCCUAAUUUUCAUUCAAAGGAAACUGGACAUGGUGUGAUCCACCAAAUGCGUGGCAUCAGGGACAAGCACAUUGGGCUGGUAGGAGCUCCUACCACACAGUAAGCUAUCUGCCCGUGUCUACAUUAAACAGAAGGAUGAGGAAAGAAGCUACACUGAAUGCAGCAGUACUCUCAACGUUGCAGUACUGUGGGAAGACAGGGCAGGUUAAAGUCAAGGUAUUUAUUUCUACCUGGUAUAAAGGUUUAGGCCAAGCCUGUGCUAGCAACUUUAACUGUUAAAAAAGUACAGUGAAUGUGUGUAUAUAAAUGUAUGUGUGUAUACAUAAAAUGAAGCAACAGAUAUUCGACAAAUUACUUCAAUUUAAAAUGUUGCCAUAUUAGCAGAUUUAAUGUAGGCCUUUGUAAAGUCAAGUGUUGGUGUACUUUAAGCCACAUCUGUCAUUACUAAUAUAUACUAGGCGUGACUAAUGUGAGAAAGGUGGAGAAGAGAAAGAAAAUGCAGUCAAGCAAACCAACCAAAAGAAAAGUGUUUGAGGAUAGUGGGAUUGACUAAUAAGGGGUGAAAAACAUUGCAUUUGAAGAGGAAAAAUGCAAUGAUGAGUUCACAGGUACUGUGUUUGUGGUCAGUCAGUAUGAUUUUGCAAGCGCAAAACCAGUAGGAACUUUGUCCCCUGCAGUGGUUUCACUGUGAGCAGUGUUUAGAAACAGCCCAUUCCCAUGCUGAUUGGGUGAUGCAUGUUCUCUCCAGGUCACACUAUUCAGCACGUGGCAAGAGGCAACCAGGAGGCAAGGAACGCUGGUGCUCACCUGUCUGGGAACUGCUUGCUCUGUUCCUUCUAGGUUUUCUCUUGUUUUAAGUUGAAUCCAAGCUGGUUAAGAGAUGUGAGGAACUUUUUGCAUUUAAUUUAAGCUGCCUUGCUGAGAAGAGUUUGGUAACAUUCCCCAGGUUUGUAUCUGCAGAGAUUUUCUGUAGGAGUUGGAGGCUGUGCUAGUACUGCUUACGUGACCUGUGUGUGCAUCUUACUGUUGUGUGCUGUAUUACAGCAGAAUUUUGUCCUGAACGUACAGAGAGAUCACUUGGCAGCAGGCAGCAUUGGCUGAGGCAUGCGGCAGCCCCCUUGCUCAGGCUGUUUGCUCUGGUGAUAUGGGCCAUAUUGUUUAAUCAUCUCACUGCUCUGACCAUGUUGCACAGACAGGGCAAGCAUGGCUGGAGUAUUCACAGCUUUAGGGGUAGUCUAACGACAGUGGUGCCCAUUGAUAGCUCAACAAAGUUAGAAUUUGGUCAAUUUCAGGUUCUGGUAGGUAUGUUUCAUUUCUUGCAGUUACUAACUAGCUCUGCAAACUAUGCCAAACUCUGCAUUUAAGUGAUUUUGCAGUUCUGAGGUGUUUUAGAGUAUGUAAGUUUACCAUGACCAUUUUGUUUUUAUUAAUUAAACUUUUCCAAGAUUUACACUGGCAGACUAUCUAGGUCUUAUAAGGCUGACAAUCUUGCAAUAUUUCACAUGAACUUCCUGGUGAAUGUUUCAUAGCAGUAAGGAAAGGUGCUUGUUGCAAAAUAUGUUUGCUUGCAAGGUUAAUGAGACGUUUAAUGACAGAGGGAGCAGGAAAGGGUAUGAGGGGCUGGGCUAGGGUUAUCUCCUGCCAUUUUUUCUUGCUCUCCUGGCUCUCAGAGGUUUGUAACCUGGCUGAAGCAUUAGUGGUUGUCCCUCAUUAAGUCCAGGGUUAUUUUACUGCCUGUAGGAAGUUCUUAGUAAACAAGAUGAAAAAAGUGAAAAGGGUGGAUUUGUGUACUGUUUGGUCUCCCAGAAACCUCUCAGCCUCUGCAUAGGACUCCAGUGACCCUAGCACUGAGCCUGAGAGUAUCAAAGAUCAGCUCUAUAAAGCACUCUCAUAACUUCCCGUCCUAAAUUAUCUUUCACUGCAGUGUACAGCUGGGAAAUAAUUAUAAGUGAGAAUUCUUUGCCAUGGUGUAGGAGGAGCUGACCUCUGUGUGUCAGCUUAGUUGGACGUUUGUAGCAGUGGGAAGAUUUGGGACAACGUAAUGCCCCAUUUCUGGAAGAAAAUGGAAAGGGAAUGUAAAAGAGUGAACAGAAUUUCAAAUUUAAGAAUUACAUAAAGGAAAAGUGUCGUCCUGUUCAACUGCUGAGCUGUUUUAUUUGUAAUGACUUCAAGAGGUUUGAGACUUGAUCCUUCUACAUCGGUUUGUUUUGACGAGAGGAGGAAACCCUGGAAACCCUUUUCCCUGGAAAUAUGGCAGUUGCUUCAAAUCCUGCCUGAGUUCUGCGACCCAUGUGGCAGCUUCCAUAUUGUGUUUAGAGAUGUGGGAAAUAAUAACACAAUUCCAGUCAAAAGUGUUUGUCUUAUUCCCCCUUCCUCAGCGUGGGAGGCUACCAGGAAAGCUGAUAUAGGUCUGCACCAAAAGUGCAUGUUCAGACUAGAGCACAGAAGCUGAGCGCCAUGAAUAAUGAAGCUGAUAUCAGGAAGAAACUCGAGGUGUAGAAGACAUAGCGAAAAUCACUGGUUAUAUCCACCAGGAGACCUGAAAUGGAAACCACAGCUUAGUUAAAGAGAAGAUACAUGAUCUCCCUGUCCCUUCCUCCUCAAGGAAAUGCUGAGUACCCUCGUAAUGGCCCCCUGUCUGCACUGGAACCACAGGAGGCAGUGGAGAGCAUCCCUACAGCCUCUACUUACCGCCCGCGUGCAGCACAGCAACCAUGAUGGAGGGGAACCAUGAAGUCUCGCUGUUGGUGGCCUGGAACUCAUGCUGGAGGUCUGGAGCUGCUUCUGAGAGAUCUCAGGUUUGCUUUCUGUGAGACCAGCAGCAUGAAACAAUGACAGCAUUUCAUGUGAGUAAAGGCAUAAAACAAAUCUUUGGCAGCUGGAUAAGCUCAAGAAAAGCACCCAUAAGGUUUGCACUGCACAAUAUUUAUUUAGCACUGGACUAAUGUCCUUCCUCUAUGUCAAAAACAAUAGCUAUGACUGAGUGUUGUGUGCAGCUUUAAAAAUGGAUAAUAACUCGUUCUCGCUCAUUAUUUCAAGCUUGCCAUGGCAACGCACUCCGAAUCAGUUCCAUACCUGGGGCUGGACCAGGCCUGGUGAAGCGAGGGGUUGAAGCGCAGCGCGGGUGGCUCAUCGCGGCGUGCUCGGUGCUUCUGCUUCAGCAGUGCCCAAAAGCUCUGAUGAAGUCUUUUGCAACGUUAACCUCGGCAUCAUUCUGUAAACAGGGCUCCUGUGCCGGCUGGCUUGCAGCCAGGGAAAAAAGGGCUGCAAGCAGAGGGGGCCCGUGGGAAGGGGCUCUCACAUGCAAAUCAUGGUGGUGGUGCUCAGCACACUUUAAUCCUUUGUCCACUUUAGCUGGGUGCAGAUAAUGCAACUAAUUCAAGUGCUUGUCUCUCUGGUGUGAAUUUGCUGGAUGACAGCCUAAAACCUCUCCCCGGCAACAGCAAACCCAAAAAAAAGGCAGAAGCACAGCUCCUCUCUGUUCCCAGCUGCCCUGUCCAACGUCUGAGCACGUCCGGCAGCAGAUUUCUGCAGCUCAGGCUCACUGGGGAGGGCAGAGCUGGGGGUCACACACUUGCUGUGGCUUUUGCCUGCUGCUGGCCACAGGGCAGCGUGUCCCCGUGGCCUCCGAACCUUCAGCAUCGCCCAGGCUUUGGCUGCAAGCAGCUCCAGGAUGCGCAGCCGGCUGCCAGGUGGUCCCCUCGCUGCCUUCUGCCUGUGUGGAGUGAAGGGAGCGGGUUUGUUCCAGCUCUCAGCUGGCCGUGCCCGCCGAAUGGCUCUGCAAAAAAUGGCUUUUAACCCUUCCCAAGUGCAAAUGUGUCAGGCUGCUGCAUGCUCUGGUGCCGUGUAGUCCUCAGUCUGCUCCUCAAUCAUGUCAAGACCAGGAUCUGCGGAAAGCAGAGGCGGAUUCUCACCAGCUCGAAUGCUUGUCUCAUGCUGAUUGCAUCGGGAUUUGGAUUGAGGCUUGCAGCAAGAAGACACACAUGGCUGCUUACUGCAGACUGCAUCGGUCGGAGCGGAACUGGUGCAGCAGUGCUGCCUGCCCCAGCUCAUGACAUUGCUGGGGAUGGUUUGUAUCCGGGUGGAUUCAGUCUCUGCUCCAGCCACUCUCUUUUGUUUCUCUCUUUCAGCUCUGAAUGUUGUUUUUCUUCCAGUGACCCUCAAGAUGCUGAGUUCAGUCUUUGCUGGAUUUCAUUUUGGGCAAUGCAGCAGCCUUGGAGCUGUUCUUUAUGGCAGCACACCAGGAGUGCUCGAACAGUGCUUGUCCCCCAUUCCGAUGCCUCAGCUUCCCUCAGUUGUGCGAUGAGAGCACACAGCAGGGCUGCUGGUGGCUCUUUGUGCAUUCACACAGGGCAUUUACAUAGCUCCCCUCCUUGGAAGAGCUUUACGUUCAGCCUGCACAUGACAAUGGUAUCUAUACAUCAGCAUCAGUCAGAGCUGGCAGCUGGUGGGCAACCCUAUGGGGAGAAGAGCAGCCCAGUUCUUGUCCAAAACUGCUCAUAGGGUCACAGCAGCAGGAUUUGGCAACGAAACCAGGAGUGUGGCUAGGGGGAGGCUCUGAGCCCAGAGGAUGCCUAUGGCUGGGAGCAGGGAGGGCAGCGGGAAGAAGGGUUCUAGUUCAUGGUACAUUAACUCUCUGCAUCAUGCUGCAUGGCAUGCAGCAUCCUCCUGCUGCCCCACCUCAGCCUGUUGUGAGCUGGGCAUGUGUUUAUGAAUGUAAAAUAGUCUGUGUGCACAGAGGCAAGACGUUUACUGUAAACUGAGCCGGGUAUUAAACUUUAGGGGUCACUCUGUGUCUGUUGGGUGUAGGAAUGCCAAGCACUUCUCUUGGUAAACACCUCUAUGAGUGUCUUUUUAAGUUCCUUUUCAUCCUGUGUUUUGUCCCGGGUGGCUUUCUCAAAGUCACUAGGAUGGCUGAAAGCAGAGAACCCAGCUGAGCUGUUCUUAAGGCACUGCCCUUAAGUGGUGGAGCCUGGCCCCGUGCUCACGUCUGUGGGAUCAGCCCCUAAGGGAUGUGUAGGUGUCUGCAACUCCCUGUCCUGUGCUGGUUUGUCCUGGCGCUGGGAGCCAGCUCUGAACUCAGGAGCCUCAGCAGCAGUUUUGAGGCAGACCAUGUGCUUGGAUACCAAACUGUCAGUGCCUCAGAGCUUGGAAGUUGCUUCUGAGAAAGAUGAAUUGAAUUUGUGCCAGAUACCCAGAUUAGCAAAACUGACAGUCUGAAUCUUACAGAGGAAGCGUGUAACUUCUUUCUUUCUUUUAUUUACAUCAAUGGGAACCAAGUGACAUGUUGUUGUUGGGCUGAAGGGUGGCUCAGGCAGGAGCUGGUCACAGGGCUGCCCUGCCACAGUCAGCCCCGCUGCCUCCAGCCUGCUCCUCCCAGGGGUUGGGGGAGCACCCAAAUUAACUCCUGCUCUGACUGCCCCCUCAAACCCAGACAGGCCUGGUGAAAACUGAGUUCCCCAAGCACCUGAAGGCAUCCUCCUGAGACUUGGAACAGGGUCGGAGGCUGAACAGGAAACAGGACAGUGCAAAGCUGUAAGAAGUGCUGCUUUGUCACUUUCCCAAGUUCCCCCAGCAUUACUCCCACCUUCUCCCCCUGCAAAGGGCCCAACUGGCACUGAUAGGUCUUAAUUAGGCUAAGCAGCCUCAUCUGACUCCCCUCUCCUUCCCUCCCCUCCCCCACCCCACAUUCUCCCCACCUAUUUUGAUUCCCAGUUGCAUUUAAGCCUGGCUCUUUACCUAGCAUAGUCUUUGGGCAGAUGUCCCAGUACUGUCCCUAUUCUCUUGGCUUCGUCUCAGCUCUGUCUGACUGCCCUGAGCUCAUCAACUACCAAGAACACAGGUGGAGUACCAGGUGGGAUGUCUGUUUUGGGGGGUUAAAAAUGACUCUCAACCAGUACUGAAGAUGUUGGCUCAGAGGUGGGAAAUGGGAAUUGAGGUGACAGCUGUCAGUGGUGCGAGCGCUGGCAGCUUCCAUCGGCUCAGAGGAAUCUGGCAAGAUACAGCUUGCCCUGAGUGUGGUUCUCUUGCAAGUUGGCCCUUGCCUUCCUGACUGCUGACUUCCUCCCUGUGUAGCCUAAGGCUGCCCUGUGUGUGUUGGGGGUGUUUGGUGUCCAAUAGUGAUGGUUCCAGAGCCCAGACUGAGAAAGAUGUGCUUGGGCACCUUCAUGCUGGAGGUGGCACUCGCUCUUAUUAAUGGGAAAUUAAUGACUGACUGCUUGGAUGAGGUAUAAAUCUCACUGCUGUUAGCUGUAGGAUAGGUGCAGACAAGGAAACAGCCCUGUUCUGGGAUUGUGGUAGACAGGUGUUGCUCUCAUUUUGGGAUACCUUCUUGCCCUGGGUACCCUGCAGCCCUCCCAGCACUGGGCCUAUUUUCCUUCAUGUUUGGUUAUGCAUCGCUCCGGCCUGGCACCUUCCCUUCUUGGCCUCAGCUGUAGUGUGUAGGGAAUAUUUGAACCUUUAUUAUUAGUUAUUUUUAUCUCUUUUCCUGUUAAUAGCUUCUCACUAUGGCACAGUAUUCUGUCUGGGGUGCAGCUCCCUGUAUCUUUGGGUAAGGUAGAGAAGAGGUUGUGGGUGAUUGAGGGUGAGUGGCCAGAAUUUAUGGGGCGUGAUUCUGAGAGAGCCAUAAGGUUUUUAGGCUCCAGCUAGCAAGGAUGAAGCUUUGGCCAUACUGCUUUUGGCAGAUGCUUUGCUCCUCUUCCCCCCUCCUCCCCCCCCCCCAACUCAGUCCUGCUUCUCCUGCCCACACCCAGAGGCAUUGCAGUGCUUGCCAUUGUGAUUCCUGGGAAAGGGACUGGAACUCUUCAUCCUGCUGGGAAAUACAGGUCACUCUGUAUGCCUAGCGUUGUGCUUUUGGAUUUGGGGCAGAAACUGCAAAAUGUGAUCUCCAGCCUUUGUUUUAUGGGCAAAAGCCCUAGGUUUGGCAAAUAGAACCAUAGUGUUCUUACUUCCUAUGUGUUUCUUUGCAUUCAAAUUUAGGAUGAAAACUCAUGGAAAUAUUAGGAUGGGGGUGGCUGUUCAGUAGGUAUUUCCCAGCCCUUUAUAGACGCAUUUGGCUGCUUUUCUCAUUUAGAGCUUGGCUCUCUGGUCGUGCACACAGAGGACUGGCACUAUCCUGCUGCCUGAAGGUGAUUGGUAGGGAGCUGCACCUUUCCUUGCUGUGAUUUGGAGAAACCAUGUUUCAACGGCCACGGAGGGAUCAGGUAUUGGAGGGGUUAUUUGCCCAGAUGAAAGUUUUGUUAAAUCUUCAGUGACCAUUUCAAAACCAGAUCUAGCUGGAAGGAUGUGACUAAGGUCCUUAUUUCCCAAACAAGUCAGCAAGCUGGGUUUCAAGUAUUUAUGGCCCUUCAAUCUGCAAAUAGAUGAGACUUUGCCCACAGUGCAGGAGAGAGUGAGCAGUGGGCUGAGCCCUACUGCUCUGUGAAAACCAAGACAGCGUGUGGGCAUUGUGAUGCACUCGUGGCUGUGGGCAGAGCUCAGUCACUUCCCGGGCUUGUAGAGAGGAGAAAUGCAGCUGUGGUUUCCACUCCCCUUUGCUGGAGCCCUAGGCCACGAAUGUGGAUGCUGACAGAUGCCUCAACUAAGCUGCAGUUCUGUCUGGCGUGGAGAUACAGGGGUGAGUCAAGAAGGCUUGAAGGUGUUGUCCUGAACCAACUCGAGCGGUUCAGCUGUGGCUGGCUCAGCUGUGGUUUCUGCUUUCUGCUGCCCUGCCCGUAUGCUCCCCUUGUGUGACACCAUGUGGUGAGUGUCUCAUCUUGCGCAGCUGCAGUGCCAAGCCCUGUUUUGGGGAUGUGCCAGCUCCUCCCUGCUCAGCUGCUUAACGGCAGCCUCAGAGCAGCUGCAGUGGGCAGCAGCAAAUUGUGGUUAAAAGUAAGAUUAAGUUCAUCCAAGUUUUCCCAUUAUUUACUCAUCUUUCCUCCUCCUCCUUUCCCCUCCCUGUGUCAGGCCUGAAUCAUCACCAUUAUCUGGCAUCACCAAAGCUUGACAAUAUGUUGCCUCUUUUCCUCCCCGCUGUUUGCCCAUCACAUGGCACCUGUUUCACGCAUUUAUGAGCUGCAGUGCUCUGGAAACAGGAAAAGAACUAAAUCUCAGCUAAUCCCCAGGUUUGCUAACAACACAAACACAGGGAAGGCUGCGGCACUCAGGGUGGAGGUAACAGAUCAACUAUUUUAAAUACUCCCGAGGUUUCAGAGCCAACUCUGCGUGCCCAGAGCAAUCUCUCUCAGCUGGCAGUCACCUGCUCAGAACACCUGGGAAGCUCUUAAGAAAUGGCACUGCUUUUUGUUCUCACAUUUGUUCUGCAUUUGUCUUGGUGAUGGCAAGAAAUGCUGUGUCGUCUUCCUUCAGUGGGAAAGUGGAGAACUGUUCCCAAGAUUCUGCAGACGUUGGGGGGCCUUUUGUAACACAGGAAAGGGCAAAGCUGCUGGAAGUGUCGGACAUUUGUGCCAGGUAUGCUGGACCAAACAGGCAUUUAGCAAAUGAAAAUUGACCAAAAGAACCCUUGUCCUUAAACUACUCAUGUUUAGUGCUUGUAUUAACAUUCUUCUUGUCAGGGGAAAUGGUGAAAAUAUAUGUAGCUCAGAGUGUUUUAUGUAAAAGAAAAUCAGAAAAAUGCUUCAGUUUGCCCUUAUUCCUCUGUAGGUAACCAAGGAGGACUCCAAAAUCUAACUAGACUUUUCCUCUUGGCAAGUCAUCACAAAUGAAUGGAGCCAUAUGCAGGCCCUGCCAGCAAUAAGUGAUAAGACAGGAAACCUGCCUAUUUCCAUCUCAACACUGUAAAGAGACCACAGGUAGCUGAAUUUAUCCGUAAAAGAACCAAACUCCACAAACCAGGGGACUGGCUAAUCAGGAGGGAGCACUGCAAGGUCUCUACACUAUUCUGGUGGUUGUAGACCUAGGUGCAAGAAGUGGACAGGUCAAACAGAUCUUCCCACCCAUGGCAGCUUGUGCAAGGGGAAUUCAAGACAAUACAUCCGAGGAGAUGCCUUACCUUUGCCUUCUCGCUGGGCUCUUUGACAAUGCCAUUGGUAGAAUUGUUGAGUUCCCUGGACACAACACAGAGGAAUUCUGCCUGGUCUUCAUUUCCGUAGUUAUAUGAAGAUCCAAUGCUGAUUAGCUGUGUGACAGAAGACAGCCAAGUAUUAACAAGAUGACUUAGUGGCCUUGUGAAACCAUAAUGGAUCAUCUUUCCUAGUUGUGUCUUAGCUCUACCUAAAAACACUGACUGUCACAGUUAAAAACAAAUAAAACAAAGAACUUCUACUGGAAGCACCUACAGCCACAUGUCCUUCUACUAUGCUACAGAAAAUGACUGACUUCAGUGUGCAAAUUUUCAUGUGCAUUACUUGAGAGGUUCUGUUCUCAUUAUCCCGUAUCCGCUCCUUCACCAGCCGCACAAGUGAUGCAAUAUUGUAAAACUCAGCUUCUUCCAGUACCCCUAAGGAAGGAACCAAAAGCACAGACAAACUGUUACUUUGUAAAGAGCAGAACGAAGAUGAUUCAGCUACAAGAGUGCAAUACCUGCUACUGACUCCAAAUCUUUCCCACAUGUAAGAAAAUCCCUGGAUGCUAAACAGACUUUGCCACCGACCUCAUGCUCCCAGGCUGGAAGAAAACAACCAACUAGCUGCUGCCUCCUCUUGCCGUUAACAGAACAUUUAAGAAAGAUUAUUCCCCUUUCCCUGGGAUUAUAAGAAACCCUAUGGUACAAUCUCUAAUAUCAUUCAUGCAGCCUCAGUAGUGGCAAGGUCACCAAAGCUCCUUGCUUGUUCAGAACUGCUGUCUGUUCAGGGAGAAGAGAUGUUGUUCAAAAAGUGCUGUCAAACAGUGCUUGCAGUUCUUCCCUUGUAGGUUUCUCUUACCUUCUUCUGCGAGCUCCUUGUUUAUGAUAAGCUUCCCAUGUCGGAGGUAGUUCAGUAUUGGACCAAAAUAUGUGGGAUCUCUAUCGAUGAGAUACGCCCCUGUCUCAUCCUGUUGAGUGUGUACAGAAAUGAAGCAGGCAUAGUUAAAUGGUACUGGGGAAAAAAAAAAUUCAUUUUAAAAUUACACAUAGAACAGCUUUUCUUUGAGAAUCUGGAUUCCUUUGCCUGUAAAAAGUGCAUCUGUGACUCCAUGCUUCAGCCAAUGUUUUUUUCAGUAUUUGAACUCAGCUAUAAAUGCUGCAGCUCAAUAAUGCUGGCUGGUGUCUUCCAGUAAGUACUUCCACAAACCAAGCUUGCAUAAGUGAGGAGAAAAGCAGGGCUUAGCAGUUUUUCUUCACUGCAAUAAUAAAAUACAAAAGCUGGCAGUCA